rnacentral:lncRNA from 1 species
AACAUGUAAGUCUAGCAUUGUUUCGAUCAUUAUUAGUUUAACACUGAAUAAUAUUAAAUAUAUACAGAAAAUUUAGCAACACAAAAUUAGUUUCCUACAUAUACAUGGGAUGACAUUUAGGUGGAUAGUGAAAUAACUAUACAGAAAGGAGGAAACUUUAUAGCAGAUCCACAUACUUAUUGAGUAAUCCCCUAUCAUCUGCCCUUUACAUCGUCGUCCUUUUUCUCAACACUUCAUCUCCCUGCCAUGCGCUACGUCUGCACCAAACAUGAGCAGCCACAUUAUGAGAUGGAUUCAGAAUAGCUUACCAUUGCAGCAAGAAAACAUUUUCUUGCAUCAGGAAAAGACCUUGAUUUUAUUUAAGUCGUACAGUGAGCAGUCAAGUAACAUGCACUAUAGCAGAUCCUGUUCUGCCCCAACCAGGCAAGUCUCUUCAAGUACUAAUGAUGAAUGUUCUUCUUUAUUCCCCAUCCAAAUACCAAAAUGGCAAAUUGUUUAGGAGAAUAACAUUGUCAGUUGGAGAAGGUUGUUCUUUGCUUAUUGGUCAUCGGGACCCAACUUUUACACAGAAAACACAUGAAACAGAAGAUAUACUGUACUAAGGUGAAUGCAUCAAUCAUGAGACAAACUAAAAAAUUCAUACACACACAGACAAAUUAUGGUGCUGAUACUGAGACGUUAGUGUGCGCCUACCUUAAAUUGCAUGUAUCUUCCUAUUCGUUUCUUCAGUUCAAGGGAUCCUACUGCUCGAGUGUCAGUGUGUCCAUCCCGCUUGAAUGCCUCAUCUCAAUUUGUGGUGAUUCUAUCAGUCCCGGAGUAACUUGCCGCGCCUUGGUUGUCGAACACAGCAAAGAGGUGCACCAAAAGGCAGAGCGUGUCGGCAUCGAGCCCCAGCCCGUCAAGGUCGCGGCGGCAUAUUGAUGUCAGGAAGAUCUACGUGUUAUUUGAGGCAUAAACUGGGUUACAGACUGCAAGAAUUCUUUCCAAUCGAAUCAGCCACAUCCAUCUCGAACAAAUUAAGUAAGAAAUAAUAACCUGAAACUAUGAGUGCUCAACACCUGCUGCAGCUCCAAUGGUAAUCCCCUCCUAGCACCAGCAGAUCGAGCUACUGGACGCAAGCGUGUGUCAAGGUUUCCUAGUUAAUUUGGUCAACUGCUCAAUUUCAAAAGGGGAUUUGGCUUUACAAGGAGUAGCUGGGUGACUUUCAGGUGUGCAGCACAGUACCUUGUUCGUGCUUGGGGCUCGGGGAGGAGGCCGGCAGGAGCUUCGGGAGGGCGCCGGCAGCAGGAACUUGGGGA